rnacentral:pre_miRNA from 7 species
GUUUAAGAGUAAUUGUAAGACCCCCUUUCGCAGACCCCCCACUCUAGUCUCAGGAGAGAGAGCACACCCAAAAAACAUGAGAAUCC